rnacentral:lncRNA from 1 species
UUUAGGACUAUCGGGUACCGCGCUACUGAUACGGCGCUACAACUAACGUUUAUCAGGAGCAUGCUUUGGCCCGCAUUAGUGCUAUAUCUACUUAGCAGUAGCGUUGUCCAUACCAGCGCUACUCCUAAGUGGCUUCAGAGCAGUGUUUUCCUUUUCAGCGCUAAAGAGCGCUACUAAUAUAUUUUCACAUAUCUUUUCUUUGCUACGUAUUUGUGG